CGGGCUGUAGCGAAGUUGGCUAUCGCGUCUGGUUUGGGACCAGAAGAUCGUGGGUUCAAGUCCCACCAGCCCGACCA
rnacentral:tRNA from 1 species